AAUUAUCAACUUGAAAAUUCUCGUUUUCAAUGUUUGGACUUGGAGCGUGCCGGCGGUCUCAUCCCCGGCUCCUCUUGAAACGCAUUAGCGGGUACUAUUGCUGAUCCUUGCUCCGGCGUGAUAAUUAUCAACGUUGCGGCAGGUGAAUGCGCCGUUCCGCUCAUAAUCGUUGCAUAUAUGCGCAACAGCUCUUUGACGA
rnacentral:misc_RNA from 1 species